rnacentral:rRNA from 1 species
GACGUAGGGCGCGAGCGUUGUCCGGAUUUAUUGGGCGUAAAGAGCUCGUAGGCGGUGUUCCAUGUCAGAGGUGAAAGCCUGGGGCUCAACUCCAGAAUUGCCUUUGAAACGGGGACGCUUGAGUCCGAGAGAGGAUGGCGGAAUUCCUAGUGUAGAGGUGAAAUUCGUAGAUAUUAGGAAGAACACCGGUGGCGAAGGCGGCCAUCUGGCUCGGUACUGACGCUCAGGUUCGAAAGCGUGGGGAGCAAACAGG